UCUUCAUUUCACAAUCUAUCUCACCGGUCAGAGUGGCGAGAGAGUGUGCGAAAUAAAGAGA
rnacentral:pre_miRNA from 1 species